AACGCACGAGACCUGCGGACCUGCGGAAGGAUCAUUAACAGGUGACGACCCGGGGGUUAUGGCCUCCCCCUUCCCGGGGGAAGGUUCUCCCACCGGCGUCCCAACCCCCCUCUCUUGUGUAUCGACCCCGUUGUCUGGGCGUUGCCUCCCCCCGUGGGCUGCAGGGAUUCCCCUGCGUCCGAGGGGGUCGGCCGCCCGGAGGUUAGGUCUAAACCCAUGUGAUACCGGUGUAUGUGUCUG
rnacentral:misc_RNA from 1 species